rnacentral:rRNA from 1 species
GACGAACGCUGGCGGCGUGCUUAACACAUGCAAGUCGAACGGAAAGGCCCUGCUUUUGUGGGUUGCUCGAGUGGCGAACGGGUGAGUAACACGUGAGUAACCUGCCCUUGACUUUGGGAUAACUUCAGGAAACUGGGGCUAAUACCGGAUAGGAGCUCCUGCUGCAUGGUGGGGGUUGGAAAGUUUCGGCGGUUGGGGAUGGACUCGCGGCUUAUCAGCUUGUUGGUGGGGUAGUGGCUUACCAAGGCUUUGACGGGUAGCCGGCCUGAGAGGGUGACCGGCAACCAUGGGCCUGAGGUACGGCGCAGACGAGAACGGGACGCAGCAGUGGAGAAUAUUACACAAUGGGCGGAAGCCUGAUACAGCAACGCCGCGUGCGGGAUGACGGCCUUCGGGUUAUAAACCGAUUUCGCCUGUGACGAAGCGUGAGUGACGGUAAUGGGUAAGGAAGCACCGGCUAACUACGUG